rnacentral:lncRNA from 1 species
AGAGAAACAGGGGGUAGACUGACAGAGCCAGAGGGAACCGGACGCGAGCGGGAGGAGGCAGGAGGCAGUGGAAGGAGGCGCCCGGCCCUGCCGUCGGGCCGGCGGCCGGGCCUCCCCCACCGCUGGGCUGCUCACCUGCUCCCAGUGACACCGGAGAGCGCCAGUUCUCUGCCCUCCCAAGGCUGGGCAGCCGCGGGUGGGGCUGGAGUCACGACUCCCGGGUAGGGCCCCAACGCCCUCGGCCGCGGGAAGUGGCAACUCCCAUUCCCAUGGCUCUGCGAAGGAGGGCGGUUCGCACCAGGCCCUGUGGAGGCGGUGUGGGGAGCACCCCUGUCCCACCUCCCCAAGGUUUCUGGCCAGGGGCCUGGCUUCUUCCUGCCACCCACCACGAGCCACCUCCUGACCAACCGUGGUCUUUGCCAUCCCCAAACCUUGGAGCCAGCUCCAAAUGCUCGUUUGGCUACCCCCAGGGCACUCAGGCCUCUGCCAGAAAGCCCUGACCUCCAGUGCCCUCAUAUCCCACAGCUGCCUUUUCUCCGACAGAGCCUGCCCACCUAGGAGGUCACCCCCUUAGCUGAGGCAGUCAAGUCCCUCCGGCUUUGGCAGCCCCUUCGUUCCACUAGCUUCAUAGUCUCCCUGUUUACUCCUCCUCCCGGACUAGCGCCAGAGGCCAGCCUGGGGCCAAAGCUUUUGGUUAACAUCCUCCCCACUUGGCAAAUACCCACCCCUGCUGACUCUGACUGCUGCCUCUGUAAGCCUAGUUAAAACCAAAGCUGAACCCAAGGCAGGGGGCAGCUGGCCCGGAAAUUCCACCCCCUGGGUCCUCAACAACUCCUGAGCAAUUGCCAGCCUCUCAGCCAAAUGCUCAAACACACAGGCAAGCAAACUCUUCCCCCUUCCCCAGACUCUAGGGCUCUCAGCAGCCCUUGCCAGAGGCCUCCUGUGGACAAGAAUAGAGGGGGAUGGAGACGGAGACGUCCCUCCAAGCCAAGCCCAAGUUCUCCUUCAGGAAGAAGCUACCGGGGUUUCCACCUAUGCCUUCCUCUGGCCAAGCGUCUGUCCAGCCACCUCCUGGAUGUCCUGGCCUCGGUUCCGGUCUUCUCAGGUCACAGACCUGGGGACAGCCCUUUUGGGUCCUCGCCACCUUGACCUUCUCCUCUCAUCUUUGCUUUCUCUCCACCAACUUGCCUUCCCCGCUGCCCACAAAGGCUCCUUCUUUCAGUAUUUCCAGGCCUCGGCACACACCGUGCUUCCUACCCUGGGCACACCUUCCCUCUCCCUAUGAACUCAUAUUGCUCCAGCAAAGCCUCAACCCCUUCCUCCAGGUAGUCUCCACUCCCUGAGCUCCUCCCUCAGCCUGGGAGUUACAGGAGGGCUGGGCGCAGGGGUCGGGCACUGGAGAACACGAUGAAGAAUUAAGUAGAAAAUGCCGCAGCAUAAAAGGAGAAGUGCACGUGAGCAUGCCCACGCGGGGGGGGGGGUGUCCACGUGCGGCGCCCUCAGGUACGCCCCCUCUUCCGUCCGGGCCCCACCGCAGCCGUCAGGCCUAGGUUGCAUUUCCCGCCCCCCAGCUUGCGGGUGCGCAGGGAGAAAGGAGGGGCUGCUGUGCUUCCUGGCUCGCGCUUGCGCAUUCGAUCCAGCUGGGCUGAAGUCCCGCCUCCAGGUGACUACGGACGCUACUAUUGGCCUUUGAAAAUAGAGAACGGCGUGUCCGCCAAUGAGACUUCCCCGAGGGUGGGCGGGGCCUGGACCUCCCCACUAGGUGACGGGGGUGGGCGCGCCCUCCCCGCAGUGACGUCAGGCUCCUUUCGUGAUGCGUUGCCCUGGAAACCGCGUUUCCAUCUCCGCGGGUUUCCGGGGGCCGCCCCCUCCCAUUCAGUUUUUUCCUCAAUGGGGGAGAAAGCGGUGCAGUGCCAACUCCGCCCCCUGCGAGCCUGGUAACCCCCUGCGCGUUUUGUGCCUCAGUUUACCUCUUCGCUCCUCCAACUCAACGCAUGGCCACCACUUGCUUCACCGGGCCGAGCACCUCCCUGGGCAAGUGUGUGUAGGCGCUGGGGUCGUGCAGGGUGCACGGAGGGCUGGGGUUUUUUCUCUAGGACUCCUAGAGAUCUCUCUCACGCCCUCCGGGAGUUUAUUCCUCAGAGCCCCAGAAUACAGCCAGACCUGGGCCUCCACCCCCAAGGCAGGCCCUGUCCCCCACUCCCCAAGGCAUGGCCUUGACUCCCUUGGGGCCUCAGGCUGGCGGAGUCAGCAUGCUAGGGGGCGGUUCCUGGAUUGUAGGUACAAACAUCUCCUGUGAAUCAGCAGGCCCAUUGUGGCAUCCUUCUUCCUCAUCCUCUCAGUCCUGGGAGGCAGGUGAUGGCCAGGGUGACGCUCCUGACUCGUGGGGCUGGGGCUGCUGUUCCUCCUGAGCCUUCCCUUUGCACCUCCACCCCGUGGCCUCCAACUUGGGCGUGGGGGGAAGAGGACUUUUCACCACGACCUUGAGGCCUGGGGAUGGGCUGACAGGGCAUCUGCCUUCCUGCCCUGGGUGUGGGAUGAUCUGGGGACUGAGUGGUGGGAAGGGCAAAAGGUCCAGGAAGAUGUGUCCUAGGCCACCCUGUAAAAGGGACCUGCCCCUCCCCCCUGGGGGUUCUUGGAUCAGGGCUGGGGAGGGCAGAAGCUUGGCCAUGUGCACCUGGAGGAGGGUAAGGGGUCACAAUUAAAAAAAAACUCCUCUCACCCUCUUGGCCAAGUGCUGUUUCUGGACCUCUUUUCUCUAUAAAGUAGGAGUAUAACUACUUCUAAC